UACGGAGGAUCCGAGCGUUAUCCGGAUUUAUUGGGGUUUAAAGGGUGCGUAGGCGGCCUGUUAAGUCAGGGGUGAAAGACGGUAGCUCAACUAUCGCAGUGCCCUUGAUACUGAUGGGCUUGAAUGUACUAGAGGUAGGCGGAAUGUGACAAGUAGCGGUGAAAUGCAUAGAUAUGUCACAGAACACCAAUUGCGAAGGCAGCUUACUAUGGUAUUAUUGACGCUGAGGCACGAAAGCGUGGGGAUCAAACAGG
rnacentral:rRNA from 1 species